AAGGAAUGUCGGCCUUAUUCACUAACAAGACUACAAGAUCGCGCCACUCAUCCUGAUCCUACACUCAUUUCCAUUCAUACUUGGCUUAAAAUACGGUACCUACUUUGUAUGGUCGCCAAGUAAUAAGUAAGAAAGUAUUAAAGAAAUAUAUUCAUUGGAAUGAGUGUAGGACGUAAAAUUAUGUGCUGUCAAAUAUUCUAGAGCUGUUUGUAUUUGGUGUAAGACUAGACUUGGAUUAUAUAAUUCAUUGCUGAUGACAUCAAUGUUAAUUUUAUAGAUGAUCCUGGAGCAAAGGCUGUAAUUUGACCUGAACCCAAAUUGGUCUCUAUUUUAAAUAUUGUCUUGAACCAAUGAGUUAAGAGGACUAACCUUUCUGGACGACAUUGCCAUCGACAUCACUGCAGAUGAGAGAGAAAGAGAGACCAGAGUUGUGGACCCUGGAGGCAAUUUCCAUUUUGCCGUGAUAAUGUUACUUGGUCUAACCAUAACUUAAGUGAGAACUGAAGCCUACCAGUAAGUAAAAUGGGGGCGUUGUAAUUAAUAUCCUCCGACAUUGGAGAAUACAGGGGAGAGGUGUCAGAGGAAGAGGAGAUCGAGGAUGGGGCGAAGUAAAGACUAAGAUUGAAGAGAACUAACUAAUGGCCUGAUGACAGGGUGGAUGGCGAUGGAGGCAUGGAGGUUGGGGGAGAGAAGGCUGAAGAAGUGAAGACAAAUCAGUUUAGAUUCAUUAUAAUGAUUAGUUUAAUAUUUAUUUUGAAUACCAGUAUACUUUUAUUUACAUUUUUUUUCUCAUUUAGAUUAUUUAAUUAAGAAAAUGUUAUAAAGAUGUUUUCUUAAAUUUUUAAUAUCUGUUUGUACUUCUGUCUGGUAAAAAACAAAACUGUUUAUUAUGUUUGUUAAAAUGAUUACUUCCACUAAUGGACCUUGUCUUGGGUGAAAAGAGAUAUCUUGAUAUUUAACUAGCAGGGUGCCUGUUCUAUCUAUGGGCGGGGAUCGUAUAAGUCAGUUGAAACCUUCUUAUAUUUCGAUAUUUGGUAAAUUAAUCAUUUCCAACUUUAUAUAGUAUAGAUCGCUAUUUCUGUAUUGAUGUACUGAAAUGAAUAAAAUUAUAUGAAAUUAAA